AGAAGUGUGAUUGUCCCCGCUCAGUGCUCCACAGAGAGGGGACUCCGCGAAUAAACAAUUCCCACAGACUGGAGAUACGGUGCACACCACCGGUCGGACUGUUGUGGCACCCCAAAAAAAGAGUCACUCAGGCAUUUCUGGACUAUGUUUUCAUUUCCAAAGCCCGAAUCGCCAUUUUUUGUCUCGUACCCGGAGUGACAAGACAGAUGAAUGCUGUUUUCAAUGGAUUUGCCUGACCGUGUCGAAUAUUAAUGCGCCUCUCCGGUUGACUGUGGGCUGGACACCGCAGCUACCAAGCUUCUCUGGCAAGAUCAAAGCUACAAACCUGUCAUUCAUCUAUGACUUUAAGUACCAAACACAAGCUGGACAGUUUGGCCGCACUGGGUGAGAGGGUGAGAGGCCGUGGCGCUGUACGAGUAUUUAGCAGAAAAACAUUUUUUUAUUUUUUAUUAAAACCUGAUUAUUUUUACCCGAUUCCAAUCUUCUGAAAAAUGGUGUGAUCGGCCUGCUUUCCAAUCACAUGAUCGGAUCGGGACACCCCUAAUUAUUAAUAUUUCAAUUCACAAGACGUAUUGUGAUCUUUAUGUGCAUAUUAUGGGUCUUUUCACUAGGACUGUAACAAUAUAUCUAAAUGGUGAUGUAUUGCGAUACUUUGUAUCCCAAAAGGUAAUCGAUACGCUCCUCCCAAGAAUCAGUAUAUUGUUUUAAAAAGGUGUCACUGUUCAAAAAAAGGAACCAACAGGUCACUACCAAAUUCUUCCACUAGUAUAGUGUCUGUGUUAGCUUAUAGGCUGCCAAUGACGGCGCUAGACGUCCAAUCCCUUUUGACCGUCAAUUGCACUGAAACAGCAUUCACAGCCAGUGUUCCCAAUUUUAGAGGCAUUUAUAGGUCACUUCAUGUUCAUUUUAGGGUGUUUACAGCUCACUUCCUGUUGAUUUUGAGACACUUCCUAUUGGUUAGGGGACAUUCCCGGGUCAGUUCUUGUUCUGUAAGCCAACAUCAACCGAAACAGAUCUGUAAAUGCCUAAAAAUCAACAGGAAAUGAUCCAGAAAAGCCCCAGAAUCAACAGGACCAAAACUCAAUAUAUUGUUUAUUGUAGAAUGAUUUCCUGACACAUGUAUUGUUAAUUUUUGUAUCACCAUAUCAUGAGAUAAUCGUUAUCGGAAAGCUUGUAUCGAAAAUCGUAUCGUUUCAUGAGCUACCGAGAAGUUCCCACCCCUACUAUGCUCUAUCUACUAAAGCAGGGGUCUCCAAAGUAUUCCCACAUAGCGCCGCGGUGGGUGCAGGAUUUCAUUCCAACAAAAAGAUGACACUUUUUCAACAAUCUGGAGUCCUAAAAGUGUAAUCAGUUGAUUACAGAAACCUCAUUAGUUAAACUGUCUGUGCUGGAUCAGUAGGAACAAAAGCCAGGACCUUGAAUGGCCCUUGAGGACCGGUUUGGAGACCCCUGUACUAAACUACGGGCAUCGAUGGGAUCCGGGACUAACACUCCGGUUCUCCCGGAAUUGUUCAAAUGUUUUUUUUUUGUUUCGAUGCCCUGACCGCCGACUGGGAAAAAUAGCUGCCGAACACCAUGAAAGAGAAGUCACAUGAAGACUAGCGCCGUUGUGCGCCAGUCAUACAAAGUGGCUAAUUUAGCUUAGCACAAAAACGUGUUGCUUUGCUUCACACAAAUCACAACAAAGUAACAGAAUAAAAACACCAAAAUGAUAUCAGACACUCUGUUAAAAGGUGCAAAUUUACAGAUUUUUUUUUCAUCAAAGGUUCCUAAUGUUGUGUAGUGCAGAGGAGGUGUGUAGCGUCUGUACACCUCAAGGAUUCUUUUCCAACCUAAGUAAUGUUCUUUUUGCCUGCUGAUUCCAGUAAGUCACCACUAGAGGAAGCCAAGCGCACAUAGCAAAACAAAAAGACAAACAAAAAAACAAAAACAAAACUGUAGAGUCCGGAUUUACAAUAGUGACAUCUUGUGGACGGAUGAGCAAUAUAUCAGUUUAGAAAGAAAUCAAACUUAAAAAGUAGUCAACUUAAGAUCAUGGGACAGAACACUCCUUGCCUGACAUCUGCAAGAUGUCAGCCCUUAACUAACUUGUAGAAAUUCCACCUAAAACAAACGAUGCAAUACAACAAAUGCCUGCAGCAUAAGAAACUCUAAAACAUAGGCAAAAGAAUAUGUGUAAAUGUUUUCUUCAUGAGCUUUUGAAAAAUUAACAUCUUUGUGAAAGUGCAAUCCUGUGGAGAGAAACAUCAUAUUCAAGUUUAAAGACUGAUAUUUACAAGUUAAAAAUAGCCCUGUGAGAAAUUCAUAGCAAAGUUAAUCGAAAGUUCAUAAAAUUUUAAAAAUAAUGGAGAAGUUAAGAAAUUAAUAUAAACGAUGCAAUUUUCUUGACCCUGCCUAUUAAAACAAUCUGAAUCGAAAUGUGGAACCGGAACUGUUCAAAUUCAAACGAUGCCCAACCCUGCUCAUUAGUCAAGUUGUUACACUAACGCACAUACAGUAGUAGAGUCCUAAAAAAGGGCUAAAUAUGUCGUCACGAUUGGAUUAGCAGCAAGUCUCUGGUUAGUACCCACACUAAAGUCGCAGUGCCACAGCUCGUGAGCCCUUUACUGCCGUAAGCAUAACUGUGCAAUGUUAUUCUUAGCCCCAGAACUUCAUGUCUCCGUGUGAAAGCCCCUUAACGCAGCUAAUUGAGGAGACUCCUCAUGGCUCAUGUCACUCAUCAACAGCUUCUCAAAAGCAUAUGUUGGGUCUUUCUCUGUGCUUGUGUUUGUCAAGCAGAUACACAAGGAACUUUCUGGAGCAGUACUCUUUUAUUUCAGCAAAUGUUGAGGCGUUUUGGUGGUACCACCGCAGCGCCACCUUUAGCACUUAGUUUCUAGUAUGUCUUUGCCAUGUGAUAAGUUUGGAAAGGUCAGGCAUGGGCGGGGGCGCUGUGAGCAGUCCCUUUUGCAUUUUAUGUAUUGAUUUUAAACUACAUUACAGAACACAUUUAAACUUCCCCAUUGCCUUCUCUCACAAUGUAAGGGGAAUUGCUGCGGUUACUUGAACUUUGUUGCCCUUACUUAGGGUUGCCGCAAUAUUUUCAUGCUGAUAACAAGCCUUUUUUAUCUUUAUACAAUGGUCUACGGUUCCUCGCAUAUAAGCACACAGUAUGACAGUAGAACACUCAAGCCAGACAUUGGACUGAGUGUUUACUGCGGAAAAUCUAAUAUCUUAUUGGGACGCAGCAGGUCAGCCAUCAGCUUGUCAAAACACUAGAUAGACCUAUGGUGCUUAAAGACUUCCUUUUCAUCAACCCAACCUUAAUUGAAGAACUGUGAUUGGCUUGUAAGUAAGGCGCCUCAGACGUGAGCCUGUCAUAUUUUUUGUGAAAUAGCAGGUCACUGUGUGCUGGUGACUCAGAACACAACAGGGAGAAAAGGGUGCCGGGAAUUUCCUUGUAAAAAGACUGGUUUGCAGUCAUACAGAAUGAGUCAGGAAUGGUGCUUUAAGGUCAAAAGUUGAAUGGCAUUGCAAAUGUCUAUUUUUGCCAAUGGUUAGAAAUGUUGAAAUUCUAUUUCUGUCCAAUAGAGAGGUUAAAGAUGUGGCAUCGUGAUAAAUCCCUUCCUGGGAAACGGAUAAGGACGCUCUUAGAUUGACUAAAAACUGUGUAGAAUACAUUGGGGACUAAGAGGAAGACAGAGAUGUCUAUCAGGCUGCUUAUUUUUUGCAGAUCCAGUUCAAGGGCGCCCGUAGGCGAGGCUGCGCUUGCUCUUGCCGUGCCAAUGCUGCUGUUCAAGGUCAUAUGAGCCAGCCCUGUGACAUUAAAAGGGAACAGGAAAGGGGAACCGGGAGGAGGGGUGCAUAAAACCAUCAAGCAUAGACAUGCACACACACACACACCUACUACACACCGAGAGUUUUUAAAGUAUGUCAAGUUACUAGACAAUCAGAGGUCUCUACUUUGUCCUUUUGUCACGUAAUUAAGAGAUGCUUGAGUAUACAGUAAACCUAUGUAUAUACAACCUAAUGUAUGCACUGUACAUAUUCUAUGUAAUAUAGAAUCAGAUAUGUUGAGUCAGCGCCAAACCACUGAAAAGAGGAGUGCGCAUUUAUUUGAAGGGAUUCAGAACUUUUGGCUUCCAAACAGUGUUGUUUUUGGCAGCCCUUUUAAUUUCUGUCUUAGUCUUUUGGACGAUAAUACUUUUAAGGCUUAGUCAUACUUUAGUCAUCUCAAAAUGUGUUUGUCUUCGCCUAGUUUUUGUUGACAGAAACUCAAGACUAAUUUCGUCCAGUUUUAGUCGACGUUUACUAAAAAUGUUUUCGUCUGUAAAAUUAAAAAAAAAAAAUCUACUCCAAACAUAAAUAAAUAAUUAAAGGUUUCCAGCUAUUUCGAUUGACAGACGAACACUUUCAAGUCAACUUGGUGAUAACACACACUUAGCAGGAAAACAGUACAUUUUCAAUUUUAUACCCACCCGGACGCCACGAACUGUAUGUUAAAAAAAAAAGUUGUCCGAGAGUUGAAGUGGAUGCUCGCCGUUUGUAUUAGCGUAAUGCUAUGCCAAUGCUACGAGUUACAUUUAGCGUGUGUUGAUCACUCAGCACUGACAUUAAAAGCUAAAGCAACAUUGCAUAUUCUCACUGGCUAAGAUAAGAAAACAAAUUUUACUGUGUGUGCAAGCCUCCAUGGAGACUAGGCAUGUACCGGUAUGAGAUUCUGAUGGUAUGAUAACUCUAAGCAAAAAUAUCACGGUUUCACGGUAUUACGGUCUUGCAAUUAGAGCUCUAAAACGUGUUAUUUUGAGAUGUCUGUGAUAAAAAAAAAAAAAAAAAAAAAUUUUCCAUUGAACGUGAUUUUUAAAAUUUAUUUUCAAAACAACAUAUUAGUAAAUAAGAACAUAAGGAUAAUAAGUUGAAAUAAAAAUAUUAAUGAAAUAUUCAAAAUAAAAUAAUAAUAAAUGCAGUCCUUCAGGUGAGCCUAAACCCACAGCCACAGUUCAACAUAAUUUUUAGAACAAAAAUAAUUUAAUUAUUGUCCAAUAUCCGUAUUUGUUAUACCACCACUAGAUACAAUAAACAUGCUGGAGUUAACUCUCGUCACUGGUGGGAAACGUUCAUAACAGCGUUUACUAACCUUUAAUUUUGUAUAAAGCGACGGGUGGUCACGUAAAUGCAAAAUCAUAUUGAAGGUAUGCCUCCUCUGGUAGCCACCCUCCCCGAACAUGUUUUACAUGUCAGUUGACCCUCUUUCUCUCAGCCAUAGCCGUCUGUAACCUUUCUGUAGCCAAAUUAUUCCCAUAACAACGACUUUGUUUUCUUCGAUGGGGAAAAGUUCAGGUCUUUCACCUCCUCCAGCCAUCGUGUAGCACAGCUGACUCUCUGACUCACUGAGCAACAAUUGGAAGGGGAGAGGUAAGGCCUGUGGCUGCAAGGAAGGGAUUUCUACCUUUGGGCCAUAUAAAAUAGCUAAUAUUGUAAGAACGGUAUGACGGAAAAUUUUAGCGGUUUUGAAACCGUGAAGUUACCUUGAAAUCGGUAACCGGCACAUGUCUAAUGGAGACUGGAGACGACACACUGGUGAGUUGGGGGGGGGGGGGGGCGCAGCACAUCACAUGAGUGACACAACCAUACACUGCUACGAUGCAGGCUAACUACCAGUGUUGUUAAUAACGGCGUUACAAUAUAACGGCGUUACUAAUGGCGUUAUUUUUUUCAGUAGUGGGUAAUCUAAUUAAUUACUUUUCUCAUCUUGGCAACGCCGUUUCCGUUACUGAGGACGGAAAGGCAUGCGUUACUAUGCGUUACUAUAUUGGUCGAAAAGUCUGAGGGAGACGGACUCACCGAGAUGACAGAGCAGAGCAGGAGUGGGGAGAAAGCAAGAAAGUUGUGACACCGAGCAAAAGCGAUGCUAGGUAGCUCCAAUAAUACAUGUUGUAGCCGAUAGCCUACAAACUAUGCCCGCAUGUUAUGGUAGAUAUGGUAGACAUGGUAGAUAUCACAUGUACUGUAUAUAGAUAUAACUAGAUGCAAAAUGACAGACAUGGCACUAAAUGCGUUAGUAGACAGCCGCCAUCUUAAAGCAGUAGACUUUUUAGGACGGCUCUGUUGUAGAGAACCUUCCUAGCGAACCUAAGUAACUUUUUAUCUAAAAUACUUCUAAAACUGGCAGAAUCUUGACUUGAAUCUAUCUUUCAAUGAUGAAACCGUUUUAAAACUUUCAUAUGUCGAAAGUAGAGAGAAGGGAACUAAUGCAAUAAUGGGAGCAAUUUUAACAACUUUUAACAGUUGAUUCAAGGUAAAGGGUAAAUUAGGGUAAAGAAUUGGGCUCGGGCCAAUUGUACCAAAAACCUUCACAAAAAACUUCACAUAGUGUGGCCAAUGUUUUUUUUUGUUUGUUUUUUUUUUUUUUUUUUUUUUUUUUUUUUGAGGAGAAGAAAAAAAAAAAAGUAUCACCAAUUACUUUGCCAAGUAACUAAUUACUCUUACAUUCAGGUAAUUGAGUUACUAACGCAAUUACUUUUUGGGAGAAGUAAUUUGUAACUAUAAUUAAUUACUUUUUUUCAGUAAGAUUAACAACACUGCUAACUAUACAUCAAAAUUUCACACAAUGUAAACAUGUUAAGGAAAGUUUUGCACAUUUUCGUCCCGUUCUCGCAUCAUCAGACGAAAACUGGCAUUCAUCUCGUUAUGUUUUAGUCUCUCAAAACACGUUUUUAGCUCAUUAUUGUUUCGUCAUCGUCAUGAAAAAAGUGUUCUUUGACGAAAUAUUUUCGUUAUCGUCAUCGUUGACAAAAGCAACACUGCUUCCAAAUGAUAUCAACUUGAGGCUUAUUUCCCAAAUAAAAUUUCUAUUUGACGAUUGGACAAAGGUAAGUUUUCUCAGGUAAUUUAUUUACAUUGGCAGAUGGUCUCCCACAAACAGGCAGCAGUCACAGUUGACUUCCUCAAAAUAACCUCCUCUUAUUACAAGGCAAAGUGUUGUUUAAAGUUGUUCAAUUAAAAACCUAAGGGUUCGAGGUUUACUUGAAGUUGAAAAUCACUGCAUGUAUUUUCAGCACAUGCUAAUAGGAAGUACUGCAAACUUUCACAGGUGUCUGUGCGUAGAUCUUGGGGCGAUGCCAGACAGAGAUUGUUCAGAGUGCUAGUACUGUUGAAGACACAGACAGAAUAGAAGGCGUUUUGUGUGACAUAGUAUUUAUUUUGAAGCACUUAAAUGAAGGGACUCGAGCCAACUUACUAUUCAAUUAGUUUGGCAUAUUGAGAGAUACUAUUUGAAUACUGAUCAUUCUUAUUUGAUCACGAAUUAAAUACGGAUGUACCAGCUGUAUGUUAUCGACACUCCUAACAGUCCAACACUGUGAGGUGAUCAGUGUUGUUAAUAACGGCGUUACAAUAUAACGGCGUUACUAACGGCGUUAUUUUUUUCAGUAAUGAGUAAUCUAAUUAAUUACUUUUCUCAUCUUGGCAACGCCGUUACCGUUACUGAGGCGGGAAAGGCGUGCGUUACUAUGCGUUACUAAGUUGGUUGAAUAAAAAAAAAGUCUGAGAGAAACGGACUCACGGGGACGAGAGCUGAGCAGGAGUGGGGAAGACGCCGUUGCAACCGCGAUGCUAGGUGGCUCCAAUAAUACCUGACUGCAGCCAUAGCCGACAAACUACGCCCACAUGACACGGUAGAUAUCAUAUUAUAGAACUAGAUGCAAAUGACAGACACUGCUGCAUUGCCAACAUGUUUUAAGGACUAUAUGCGUUUGUAAACAGCCGCCAUCUUAAAGCAGUAGACCUCUCAGGAAGGCCCUGAUGUAGAGAUCCUUCCUAGCGAACCUAAGUAAUUUUUUUUAAUCUAAAAUGCUCCUAAAUCGGCAAAAUCUUAACUUAAAUCUAUCUUUAAAUGAUGAAACAGUUUUAAAACUUACACAUGUUUAAAGUAGACAGAAGGGAACUACUGCAAUAACGGGAGAAAUUUUAACAACUUUAACGAUUGAUUCACAACUUUAAAUGACUUCCACACAUAGCAAAGGUUACUAGCUAGUUAUCGCAAUACCCUUGUGUCUAGUUAAGCGGAGGGUAAAGAAUUGGGUUAGGGCCAAUUGUCCCCGAAACCCUUUAAGCUUCACAUUGUGUGACCUGUGUUUUUUUUUUUUUUUUUUUUUUUUGAGAAAAAAAAAAAUAUAUAUAUAUAUCACUAGCUACUUUGCCGGCGGCACGGUGGCUGAGUGGUUAGCACGUCUGCCUCACAGUUCUGAAAUCAAGGGUUCAAUCCCGGGCUUCGGCCUUCCUGUGUGGAGUUUGCAUGUUCUCCCCGUGCCUGCGUGGGUUUCCUCCGGGAACUCCGGUUUCCUCCCACAUCCCAAAAACAUGCAUGGUAGGCUGAUUGAACACUCUAAAUUGUCCGUAGGUAUGAGUGUGUGCGUGAAUGGUUGUAUGUCUCCUUGUGCCCUGCGAUUGGCUGGCAACCAGUUCAGGGUGUCCCCUGCCUACUGCCCGUAGUUAGCUGGGAUAGGCUCCAGCACCUCCGCGACCCUCGUGAGGAAAAGCGGCAUGGGAAAUGAAUGAAUGAAUGAAUAGUUACUUUGCCAAGUAACUAAUUACUCUUACAUUCAGGUAACUGAGUUACUAACGCAAUUACUUUUUGGGAGAAGUAAUUUGUAACUGUAAUUAAUUGCUUUUUUAAAGUAAAAUUAACAACACUGGAGGUGAUACAAGCCUGUAGCCACUAUACUGUUCUAUCCUCCCUGAGUGCAGGUAGCGUUCCUCUAAAAGAGACAUGUGCUCGCUUUAAGCUGUUUAUUGACACUCCAGUAGACUUUUACUGUAAAAUGACAUACAUAAUACUGAUUGAAUACAUAAUAUUUUGUACUUGACAGUGUUCGUUGCUUGAUCACUAAAACUAUUUUUUUGUAGUUACUAUAGGAACUAGCAAUAAACCGAUUUUUAAAUCCAACCAGCCGAUAUGAAAAAAUCAUUUAAAAUGUGGUUAUUUCGGCUCAGGUGCAGGGUGCCUCUCUCUCCUGCACUGGUAUGCACCCCAUCCUCUGUUUAGUUAAAUAGUAAUGGUAAAUAGUAAUGGUAAAUACAGUUACACUUGUUGCGCCUUUCCACCUUUUUAAGGCCCUCAAAGCGCUUCACACUCUAUCCUCAUCUACCUACUGGUGACGCAGCAUCAGGAGCAAUGUGGGGUUUAGUAUCUUGCUCAAGGAUACUUAGACGAGGUCAUCAGGGCUGUCUUUUCUGUGGAAAAAUUUCAGAGAGCUAUUUUUAUAAGCUUUUAUUCAACUUUAUGAGAUAUGUUUCUGAGUCUAGGAGAUUCAGGCACUUCUGGAGCUAUUAUUUCCUAUUUUGCGUGAUUCAGUAAACAUGCUUGAGGCAUUUCAAUGAAGUUCAGUGUUUGCAUUAUUCAUUUUUUUACGCCAAUUUUUACACUUUUACUGCAAAUGAAUAUCACCUCUAUAAAUCGCAUAUCAGCCUCUCUAUCUUUUUUUUUUUCCUAAACCUGUCCUGUUCAGCUGUUUGACACGGAGAAUGGAAGUCUCUGUGUCUGGAUUGUCAGAAAAGAUUUAAUGUCUUACAUUGAGAGUAUGACAUACUCCCAUUGUAAUAAUUCAACAUACCUUGCUUAUUAUGACAAAGCAGCAAACAGGUAGGGGUUAUGGAGAAACAGAAGAAAAGAAAAACAAGAAAAGAAUGAAACGAAACACAAACAACAACAAGAUAUACAUUGAACGCCUACACUAACUAUGAAUAUGUGGGUGCUAUCGAUAGCCUCUCUUAUCUACUAACAAUCGGUAUCGGUCCUGAAAAAUCCAUAUCGGUCGAUCUCUAAUGGCGACCUCUCAUUAGUCCCUGCUCGAGUCCUAAUUAAAAUACACUUUUUUUUUUCUUCAAGUGAAAAUUAUGCCAUGUUAAAAGUUUCUUAAUCAUUUUUUUUUCCUAUAUUGCACAGUGGUGGCCAAAUUACUAAAAAGAUAGCAGAAAGUGAAAUUUCUAUUUUUUGGGGGGGUGGGGGGAUUAUAUGCACAUAUAUAAAAAUUAGGGCUGUCAAAAUUAUUGCGUUAACGCGUGGUAAUUAAUUUUUUUAAUUAAUCACAUUAAAAUAUUUGACGCAAUUAACGCACAUGUCCCGCUCAGAAAGUAUUCUGCCUUUUGGUAAGUUUUACAGCAAGGCUUUUUGUGCUGUCCAACAGCGAACUCUUGUGGCCGCUUUGCGACAUGGUUUAUUGUUUUCUUGCCAGUUCAUUAUGGCUGCACGACGUCUCGGGCUGAUAAUGUUGUGCUUAUAUGAUCCUUGGACAAGAUCUGUCCGUAAGUAUGGUUGUUGUAAAGAAUGUACAUAUUAUGUUAGUAACCGAAAUGUUAUAUUUUUUGUAUGAAACGCUUUUUGUUUAUGUUUAGUGAACCUGUAUAGCGUGCUAAGCUAACGUUGUUGCUAAUGCAAUGCUUGCGUACUUUUUGUAGUUUUACGACGGUCUAAAGAGGACAAUGGUUUGAGGCCAUUUUAUUAAUAAAUCAGAUGAAAAAGGAAGAAGUCUAAUUAUUAAGGCGUCGUUCACUAGCUGUCUAGCUUUGGAAAAAGUAGACGCUUCGGAGUGAGGACAGCAUAGACAGAUUUAAAUGACAAUAGAGUGAAAUGCCCACUACAGGCUUUAUGUACCGUAUGUUGAAUGUAUAUAUCCAUCUUGUGUCUUACCUUUCCAUUCCAACAAUUUAUUUUACAGAAUAUAUGUACAAUUUACAAAAAAAUAUGGCAUAUUUUAUAGAUGGUUUGAAUUGCGAUUAAUUGCGAUUAAUUACGAUUAAUUAAUUUUUAAGCUGUAAUUAACUCGAUUAAAAAUUUUAAUCGUUUGACAGCCCUAAUAAAAAUACACACACAGUGUAUCACAAAAGAGAGUACACUCCUCGCAUUUCUUCAGAUAUUUAAGUAUAUGUUUUCAUGGGACAACACUGACCAAAUGACACUUUGUGGUCUGUGUGCAGCUUAUAUAAUAGUUAGAGGUGUGCGAAAUUUUCGAUUCUUAGAUUAUUCGCGAUUUGGCUGUGGAAGAUUCGAGGAGAUUCACAAACAUCCAUAUUCCGAUUAUUGAAAUAUGUCAAGUGAAGCGGAAGUAAAACACACUCAGCGCGCCGCGCGGUCUUCGGGACGCAAUGAGGAAUGGAGCGAGAGUAGCUAAACAUCAUGCUUGUCAUUACCCGGCCCCUCGGAUAAUGCCAAUGCUCAACUCACGGCUCUAGCUCAACUCAUGCCGCGAGAUAAAAAAACAACAACAUACCUGACUGCUGCAGACAGCAGCUACAAAGUACGUCCACAUAAUGGUACGGUAGAUAUCAUAUUUAUAUAGGACUAGAUGCAAAAUAGACUCGAUGCGGGCGUUAGUAAACGGCCACCAUCUUAAAGCAGUAGACUUCCCUGCAAGACUGUUGUAGCGAACCUUCCAAGCGAACCUAAUUAACUUUUCAUCUAAAAUACUCCUAAAUCGGUAAAAUAUUGAUUUGAAUCUAUCUUUAAAAUAGUUUUAAAACUUUCACAUGUCGAAAGUAGACAAAAGGGAAAUUAUGGAAUAACGGGAGCAAUUUUAACAACUUUUAACGGUUGAUUCACAACAUUAAAUUAAUUGAAUGUUUAUUUAUUUAAGCCUGCAAGGCCUUUUUUUUUUUUUUUUUUUUUUAA